CAUGUGCCUUGUGACACUUUAUUCUAGCCAGAUUUGGUGAACAUUGUGCGCAAAAAGAAGACGUACAACUUUCCUUAAAAAAAAUCUAAGAAAAAGUGAAUUGCAUAACAAGAGGCGACAUGAAGAAAAAAAAUGCAGGAAGUGAAAAUUUUUGAGAUGAAAGUGAAACAAAAAUAUUCAGGAACUGUGCCAAUUUUUUUUUGCUCUCCUUCACUUCCAUUCGCAAACAAAAAGGAACAAAAAUGUGUGAAAAAACUUUUGUUGUAAUUGUCCCUUACCGAACACAAUAAAUUAUUCGUUGCAUAUUGUGCCUUUAAAAAAAAUUGUAUAUUUAUUUGUGUUGCUGGUCGUGCUCUCCGUUCACUUGGCUUAACAUUUUCAAAGCCAAACGGAAAUGUUCGCCGUACAUAUUAUCAACAUUAUUUACACGCAAGAACAACAAAUAAAGAGUUGUUGUUCGCAAAAUUGUUUGGCAUUGUGACAGACGACCGGCAUUUUUGUGGUAUCCAAAAUGGACAAAGUUAUCCUUUUGCCCGUAAGCGAAACACAUGCUGCUCACGCAAUUGGAAAAUAAUGACAGAGCUACUCGAUGUUUCAAAAAGUACAAAACAAACACAGACUGAGUGUAGCAGAAAUGUGGCGAUGAAAUGUAAACAGAGUUAUUGUUUGAUUUUUUGUUCGGUUUCCCAAGGGCUGUUUAGCAGAAUUAAUAAAGAUAAAUGUCUGAGGACUCGGAUGUCUUGCUGUGUUUCAAAAUGACAUGACGCGCCGCUGCCUUUAUAUUCAAUGAAUUUCACUCCAUUGAAUAUAAUAUGUCCAUCUGCCUCAGUCAUUCAUAUUUUAAUGAGGAUAUUACGAACUACAUUAUACAUGGACUCUAUGGUGAAAUAUAAAACU